UAGAGACGCGGUAGCGUUUCGACGCCAAGUUCAUGAAAAAUUAUAUAGCCACCCUGUAUAACGUGGCGCUACCGCUAUCUUUUACAGGAGAGAUGGUCCAUUUUAACCUAACUUAAAACUUCUUUCAUUAAUAUCUCAUCACGCCUGCAAUAUUUUCUAAAUUUAAACGCAUUUUUCUGAUGUAAAUCGCAUAUAAGCUUUCGAAUAAAACGAAAAUCAAUCAAAUCGGUACACGUACAACAGCGAUAUCGUAAUAUCGUGUCACGAUACAUCCAAAAAUAUUACUGUCUUAUACUUUUCCAGUCGAUUUUUCGUCAACACUUAGCCAAUAGGAGACAAGGCCGUUCGUCGAUUCGUCAACUCUCGGAAUCAGUCGGCAAGACUCGUCGACCGCCAUAAGAAAUACUUGUGUAUAUCGUUUGACAGAUAUAGGUUAGUAUCGUUUGAAAGAUAUAGGUUACAGUGAGGAAUAGCUGGAUGCAGAUUAUUAAGACAGAAGACAAAAAUUUCACCAGAUACCUGCAAGAAAUAAUGCACAAGAAACAGUAAUGUUGCCUUGCAAUACGUGUGUGCACGCAGGAAAACUAUAAUAGUAGUAUUAGAAGUGCGACAUAUUUUAUUAUAUUUCACAUCAAGAAGAGGAGCAUAUAACAUCAUCAAUAAAAGAUCUUUGAUUGAUAUGAACCAAAUAAUUUGAUGACGAAGCAACAGUAUUUUGGUGCUCUCCAAAAAUAGGAGCUGCCGCUGUGAAAUUCUAGUAUUUUAUCUGAGUGAAGGAUGUCUGGUAGUAAUUAUUAAAAUACCACAAGAAGAAUUGUGCAAGUAUUACAGGAAAUACGAUAAAGUUUGACAGCUAUAUUGAAAUUUGCCAGUUAAAAUAUACUACGAUCUGACAGAGUGUACAACGGAAGGAAUUAAAUAAUUGAACCAUAAGAUGAUGGUCUGUGUAUAUGUCGCAGGGAAAUGAUAAAAAUAGAGAUAUGAUCAAAUCCCUAAGGUAGAUGAUCAAUUCACGGGAGAUGUUAAAAUAACAACUCCGUAAGGUCAUUUACCUAAAGAAAGUAAGUGAUUUGAAUAAAUCCCUGUUUUAGCGAAAAGAUGAAAUAGUAUGACUUGAUCAAAUCCCUUAACUGUUUUAGUGUAAAGAUGAAAUAAUAUUGUUUAGAUAUUGAAAGUACUUAUUUAGUAAAUCAUGCAUUAUUAAAAGUAGAAUAGGAAAUACAACAAUACUCAUAGAAACAUAAAUUAUUUAUUCGAGACUAAUUAGCAAAAGAAAUAGGUACCUAAGCUGAUAUUUUAAAAAACAAAAAGAAUACUUUUAGGGAAUGUAAUUAAUAAAUAAUUUAUGUUUCUACGACUAUUGUUGUAUUACCUACUCUACACUUAAUAACGCAUGAUUUACUAAAUUAAUACUUUUAAUAUCUAAACAAUAUUAUUUCAUCUUUUCACUAAAACCGUCAAGGGAUUUGAUCAAAUCAUAUUAUUUCAUCUUUUCACUAAAACAGUUAAGGGAUGUGAUCAAAUCACUUACUUUCUUUAGGGAAAUGACCUUACGGAGUUGUUAUUUUAACAUCUCCCGUGAAUUGAUCAUCUACCUUAGGGAUUUGAUCAAAUCUCUAUUUUUAUCAUUUCCCUGCGACAUAUAUAAAUCACAAAACUAAACAAUUCAUUUUUUCAUAUUAUUUCAUAUGGAUUAUUCUAGAUUAUAGAUAUUAAAAAUAUUAUAAAUGUAUUAUCAGUAACAUUAAAAUUUCUUGGAACAAGACUUUCUAUCAUGUGUCGUGCGUACUUUUGAGGAUUUAAAGAACUAAAUCUGACCUCUCUUUUUCUAUAUUAUUGUAAUACAAUAAAUUAUGUGUUGCAAAUAGUG